rnacentral:rRNA from 1 species
UACAGAGGGUGCGAGCGUUAAUCGGAAUUACUGGGCGUAAAGCGCGCGUAGGCGGCUUUGCAAGCCGGAUGUGAAAUCCCCCGGCUUAACCUGGGAACUGCGUCUGAUACUGGAAGGCUUGAGUAUGGGAGAGGGAUGUAGAAUUCCAGGUGUAGCGGUGAAAUGCGUAGAUAUCUGGAGGAAUACCGGUGGCGAAGGCGGCAUCCUGGACCAUUACUGACGCUGAGGCGCGAAAGCUAGGGGAGCAAACGGG